rnacentral:rRNA from 1 species
UACGUAGGGGGCUAGCGUUGCCCGGAUUUAUUGGGCGUAAAGAGCGUGUAGGCGGCCAAGUAGGUCUGGUGUGAAAACUCGAGGCUUAACCUCGAGAUGUCAUCGGAAACCAUUUGGCUAGAGUCCGGAAGAGGAAAGUGGAAUUCCUGGUGUAGCGGUGAAAUGCGCAGAUAUCAGGAAGAACACCAAUGGCGAAAGCAGCUUUCUGGGACGGUACUGACGCUGAGACGCGAAAGCGUGGGGAGCGAACAGG